rnacentral:rRNA from 1 species
UAUAAUGACUCUCGGCAACGGAUAUCUAGGCUCUUGCAUCGAUGAAGAACGUAGCGAAAUGUGAUACUUGGUGUGAAUUGCAGAAUCCCGUGAACCAUCGAGUCUUUGAACGCAAGUUGCGCCCGAUGCCAUUAGGUUGAGGGCACGUCUGCCUGGGUGUCACAU